rnacentral:rRNA from 1 species
UACGGGGGGAGCAAGCGUUGUUCGGAUUUACUGGGCGUAAAGGGCUCGUAGGUGGCCAACUAAGUCAACCGUGAAAUCCCUCGGCUUAACCGGGGAACUGCGUUUGAUACUGGAUGGCUUGAGUUUGGGAGAGGGAUGCGGAAUUCCAGGUGUAGCGGUGAAAUGCGUAGAUAUCUGGAGGAACACCGGUGGCGAAGGCGGCAUCCUGGACCAAUACUGACACUGAGGAGCGAAAGCCAGGGGAGCAAACGGG